rnacentral:RNase_P_RNA from 2 species
UGAGUCGGCCAGGCGGUCGCGUCGGCAGCCACCCCCGGUAUAAACCGGUAGGGUCUGCCGCCGAGGAACGUCCGGGCUCCACAGGGCAGGGUGGUGGCUAACGGCCACCCGGGGUGACCCGCGGGACAGUGCCACAGAGAAUAGACCGCCUGUUCUCCUCCGGUGACCCGGAGAAGAACAGGUAAGGGUGAAACGGUGUGUGUAAGAGACCACCAGCACGCCAGGUGACUGGCGUGGCUUGGUAAACCCCACCCGGAGCAAGACCAGACAGUGCACGUUAGAGGGCUGCCCGCCCGAGUGCACGGGUAGGUCGCUAGAGGUGCCUGGCAACAGUCACCCGAGAUGGAUGGCCGCUCAUGACAGAACCCGGCGUACAGGCCGACUCAUCCG